rnacentral:rRNA from 1 species
GACGAACGCUGGCGGCGUGCCUAAUACAUGCAAGUUGAGCGCUGAAGGUUGGUACUUGUGCCAACUGGAUGAGCAGCGAACGGGUGAGUAACGCGUGGGGAAUCUGCCUUUGAGCGGGGGACAACAUUUGGAAACGAAUGCUAAUACCGCAUAAAAACUUUAAACACAAGUUUUAAGUUUGAAAGAUGCAAUUGCAUCACUCAAAGAUGAUCCCGCGUUGUAUUAGCUAGUUGGUGAGGUAGAGGCUCACCAAGGCGAUGAUACAUAGCCGACCUGAGAGGGUGAUCGGCCACAUUGGGACUGAGACACGGCCCAAACUCCUACGGGAGGCAGCAGUAGGGAAUCUUCGGCAAUGGACGAAAGUCUGACCGAGCAACGCCGCGUGAGUGAAGAAGGUUUUCGGAUCGUAAAACUCUGUUGGUAGAGAAGAACGUUGGUGAGAGUGGAAAGCUCAUCAAGUGACGGUAACUACCCAGAAAGGGACGGCUAACUACGUG